rnacentral:pre_miRNA from 1 species
CUUGUACUCCCCCCGUCCGAAAAUACUUGUCAUUGAAAUGGAUGUAUCUAGAUGUAUUUUAGUUCUAGACACAUCCAUUUUGAUGACAAGUAAUUCUAGACGGAGGGAGUACUUG